rnacentral:rRNA from 1 species
CCUAUGGGUGGCAGCAGUGAGGAAUAUUGGUCAAUGGUCGGGAGACUGAACCAGCCAAGCCGCGUGAGGGAUGAAGGUACAGAGUAUCGUAAACCUCUUUUGUCAGGGAACAAAGGCGGGGACGCGUCCCCGGAUGAGUGUACCUGAAGAAAAAGCAUCGGCUAACUCCGUGCCAGCAGCCGCGGUAUUAGGAGGAUGGGAGCGUUUUCCUGAUUUAUUGGGUUUAAAGGGGGCGCAGGCGGGCUGUUAAGUCAGCGGUCAAAGCCCGGGGGACAACCCCGGCCCGCCGUUGAAACUGGCAGUCUCGAGUUGGAGAGAAGUAUGCGGAAUGCGCGGUGUAGCGGUGAAAUGCAUAGAGAUCGCGCAGAACUCCGAUUGCGAAGGCAGCAUGCCGGCUCCACACUGACGCUGAGGCACGAAAGCGUGGGUAUCGAACAGGAUUAGAUACCCGGGUAGUC